CCUAAAAGAGAACUUUGAAUCAGUAACUAAAUUCAAUUAUUGUCUGCUUAAGUUUUGCUAGUUGACUAUCGACAGUUGGUUAAGGAGUAAUUAGUUUUGGCUGCUUUGUCUUAGAUCGAGCUGGAAUCUGCAAAGUCUGAAAUUCAGAAAUAGCAUUCUUCAUUUCAGGAUGAGUCUGCUAUAUCCCCAGCUACUACUCCAGAACCUAAAUUGGUGGUUAACUAUAUCCAAACCUUAAGGUCAUCACACAAGUCACUAAAAGAGCAGCUAGAAAAAGCAAAGAAGAAAGAAGCUGCCUUUAUUGUGACACUUGCCAAACGAGAGCAAGAAGUGGCAGAAUUAAAGGUCAGUUUAUAUUCCCAUUUGUUUCACCUCGAGAAUCCUGAGCGUAGUUACUCCGUUAGGUUAGAAAGGCAAUCACCCUCUUUAUUUGCUUUCAUAUUGAUGAUUGUAAAUGUCUAUAAAGAUUUUUACUUGCUUUCACUUCUAUGGAGCUAAGAAGUUGAUCAUUACCCCUCUCCAUGCUCUAUAAUCUUGGAUGGGGGCACAAUCGCGGAACCACUUUUGCAGUCAAUGCGAAUGAUUGACUGCUAUUGCAGCUUGAUGUGUCAGUUAGUUAUCUCAUAAACACCUACCAUGCUAUAAGUUUUCUCAAAUUCCUUUACAAUGGUGAUAUGGGCAUGCAGCCGAUUGUAAAAUUGGAACACAAUCAAUAUAUAGACCCUAGCUUGACUGUUUGUGAUAGUAUUGUCUCUAAAAAUCUAAUAUGCACAAUAAAUAUAUUGACCUACCUUGACUGUUUAUGAUAGUAAUCUCUUUGAAAAUCUAAUAUUUAAAUCCUACUUGAGAUUGUCCUACAUGUUCACCAGCACAGCACCACAGCAGCUCACCAGUACCGCAACACAGAGAACCACGCAGCAGCAGCAGUAGCAGCAGAACCCAGCAAACCCAGCAGCCUGACCCAGAGCAGCCAAACCAGCAAGCAACACAGCACUAUAGCAGAGCAGCAAACACCCAGCACAGCCUGACCAGAGCAGAACAGAAACACAGCAGCUCAAGAACUCAAACCAGUCACCCAGCCAGCCUGAACAUAACAUAGACACAGCCGCAGAAGCAAACAGAUGCCCAGCCAGCCUGAAUAGGACAGGGGCACAGCAGCGCAGCAGAACAGAAACAGCAGCACAGGAAACAGCAGAGCAACAGGUCUUCUUGAACACAUAACAACACAGUAGCCAGCGAGCAGCCACCAACACAAGACAACCUGAACAGAAGCAAAACCAAUCACCCAGCCAACCUGAACAAAGCAAAAGCACAGCCACAGAAGCAAAACAGCCACAGCCAGCAGAGCGGAAACACACCCACCGCCAGCAGAGCAGCCACCAGCACAAGACCAGGACAGCUAGUUAAAUCAAAUGCAAGAAAGGUACUCAGAGAUAAGUCUAGAUUAUUUAAUUUUUUUUGGACGAAAAUUGUAAUA